rnacentral:misc_RNA from 1 species
CCCAAAUGAAAAUGUAUUUUAACAACACAACAAAUAUUACAUCGCUUAGUCACUAAUCUACCCAAUUAUUUUAUUUCAAUAUCUUCUUCUUCACCAAACACCUCUCAAACCCAUGAUUGCUCAAGGAAGAACACUGCCAAGACGACCAAAAAAACAAAAAACUUUACAAUUCUUAAUCCCUUAAAUUUGCAAUUAAUUUAUACAUAAUUACAUGUAGUGGAUGAGAGGAUCGGCGGCCGCAGGAUCAGGAAUCGGCGCGAGUUUUGAAGUCGGAAGCGAGGCGAGAAGCGAUCGCCGAGUGGUACAUAACGUCGUGAAAUGACUCCGUCUUCGUCGUCAUCAUGCGCAGCUGCCGAGCCUUCGCCUCCGUGAAGCAGCCGGGGGAAAUUCGAGCCCUAACGGAUUUCGUCUCCACAUCCGAUUUUGAAGUACCGCCGGUGAGGUCUUGAGGUUCGGCCUUGUUGCCGGAGUCGAUAUAGUCGGGUUCGGAGGACCAGCCGAAGACUGGGGCCCACCAGUUGGAAGAGGAGGAGGUUUUCCGGCGGUUAUGGUCGGAUCUUCGGUCGGCGGAGGCGGCACAGGCACGGAUGCCGGCAGGGGCAAAAGUGAGGAGAUUAGUGGCCAUUUUAGAGAGAGAUGAUUGAAAAGCGGUUUUUAGAGAGAGAGAGAGGAAAUGGGGG